rnacentral:rRNA from 1 species
GAGGGAUUUUGCGCAAUGGGGGAAACCCUGACGCAGCAACGCCGCGUGAGUGAAGAAGGCCUUUGGGUUGUAAAGCUCUGUCGAUGGGGAAGAAGUUAAUAUAGGCGAAUAUCUUAUAUUAUUGACGGUACCUGAGAAGGAAGCAUCGGCUAACUCCGUGCCAGCAGCCGCGGUAAUACGGGGGAUGCAAGCGUUAUUCGGAAUUAUUGGGCGUAAAGGGCGCGUAGGCGGUUUAACAAGUCAGAUGUGAAAGCCCGGGGCUUAACCUCGGAAGUGCAUUUGAAACUGUUGGACUUGAGUACGGUAGAGGAAAGCGGAAUUCCUGGUGUAGAGGUGAAAUUCGUAGAUAUCAGGAGGAACACCGGUGGCGAAGGCGGCUUUCUGGGCCUGUACUGACGCUGAGGCGCGAAGGCGUGGGUAGCGAAC